rnacentral:misc_RNA from 1 species
GCCUGUUCAUUGGAUGAUGGAAUCUCGCAUUCCGUCAUCUCGCAUUCGGUUCCCUGUGUUGCAUACCCAUCCAGACGGUAUCUUGUUGGCUAGAAUCACCCCGUUUCACCCUACGCUGCGAGUAACAUUGCGGUCGAAGGUGAACCAAAAAGCAUUCAUCGUGUUCCACCCCGUUCGCAUUACAUGCUGCGGGACUUGGCCCACGAUGGCGUGCUCGAAUUCUCGGAUGCGGAACACAAAGUGGGUACGAGGAUUUCGAUCCUCCGUUCACCCUCGAACAAGCGUUCUACGCUCUGUGCGAACGACGUUCUUCCUCGUUCUGGGCUU